rnacentral:rRNA from 1 species
UACGUAGGGUGCAAGCGUUGUCCGGAAUUAUUGGGCGUAAAGAGCUCGUAGGCGGUUUGUUGCGUCGGCUGUGAAAACCUGAGGCUCAACCUCAGGCCUGCAGUCGAUACGAGCAGACUAGAGUGUUGCAGGGGAGACUGGAAUUCCUGGUGUAGCGGUGAAAUGCGCAGAUAUCAGGAGGAACACCGGUGGCGAAAGCGGCUCUCUGGGACGGUACUGACGCUGAGACGCGAAAGCGUAGGGAGCGAACAGG